UAGCAGAUGACCUGCACGCCACGCAGGUU
rnacentral:sRNA from 1 species